GCUCUGUCACCCAGGCUGGAGUGCAAUGGUACAAUCUCGGCUCACUGCAACCUCUGCCUCCAGGGUUCAAGCCAUCCUCCCAUCUCAGCCUCCUGAGUAGCUGGGACUACAGGUGCAUACCACCGUGCCUGGCUAAUUUUUGUAUUUUUUGUAGAGACGGAGUAUUGCUAUGUUGCCCAGACCGGUGUUGAACUCUUGAGCUCAGGUGGUCUGUCUGUGUUGACUUCCCAAAGCUCUGGGAUUACAGGCAUGAGCCACCACACGCAGCCUACCAGUCCUAAUCUUUAUAAUUCACUUCAAAGUCUUAUCUUGGAGUCAGGACUCUCCUGAAGAAGGAACACACUUUGGGACUUCAGGCCAGUUUUGGGCACCUCCACUUCUCCCAGCUGCCUGGAUGCCUCAUUUGCAUGUGGCAUUAGCCAAGCUAAUAAAAGUUCUAGGGGCUGGGAAGUCCAAUGUCAAGGUGCCAACAUCUGGUGAAGACCUACUUGCUGCAUCAACCCAUGGUGGAAAGUGGAAGGGCAAGAGAGCAUAAGAGCACGAGAGAUCACACUUGCAGCUUCUAGACUUUAUAAUUGGCAUUAAUCCAUUCAUUAGGGUGGAACCCUCAUGACCUAAACCCCUCCCAUUAGGCCCCAUUUCCCAACACUGUUACUUUAAGUUUCCAACACAUGAUUUUUGGAGAACACAUUGAAGCCAUAGCAAGAAGGAACUGGAUAUGAGUAGCAAAGUUCUUUUUGCUGCCUUCUCUUUCAGGAUCUGCCUGCCUGCAGAGAACACUUGUUCCCAAUUGUUUUCAGUCAUAUAUAUAAGUAGGAGAGAACUUGUAUCUAUGUCAUGUGGGGAUAACUGCCUGCGGUGAUUUGGAAUCUUCUACGACUGGGUUGAUGAGUCUACCCAAUUUAGGGGAACUGGGAGUUGAAAGCUCACAUGGCUCCCACACCUAAAUCCAGAUUGCCAGAUUCUCCAUAUCAGCCUUGUCAGUUAUGAGGGUAAUAUUUUGGUCUCCUAUGAUGACUCUUUUGUCUUAAUUCCUAAUUGGUUCGGAACUUGGGCAGGGAAAUGUGAAUCUAUUUGUUGGUGUUUCCCUGAAGUCCCCCAACAUUUAUGUAUUUAAAUUUUUGAUGUUUCUUUUGCCUUUUGAAUGUGAGUCCUUGAAGGAAGAAAGAGUAUUGGCCGUUUUCUCUGCCUAGGCUAUCCCUACAGCCAAGGAUAAUGUUUGGC
rnacentral:lncRNA from 10 species